CACGCCGUAAACGAUGUGUGCUCGGUGUGUGUGGGUAAAACCAUGCGCGCCUCAGCCAACGCGAUAAGCACACCGCCUGGGGAGUACGGCCGCAAGGCUAAAACUCAAAGGAAUUGACGG
rnacentral:rRNA from 1 species